UUCACAUUCUGUGUCUCCCUGUCUCUCUGCCCCUUAAUAAAUUGCAGUUAAUAAACCUACAAUGUCCUAUUAGUUUCAGGUGCACAGUAUAGUGAUCCAACACUUCCAUACGUCACCCUGUGCUCAUCACAAGUGCCCUCCUCAAUCCCCCCGUCACCUCUUCCACGCAUCUCCCCAUCCCUCGCCAUCACUUUGUCCUCUAGAGUGAAGAGUGUUUCUCAGUUUGUCUCUCUCUCUCUCUUCUUUUUUCCUCCCUUGGCUUGUUUGUUUUGUUUCUUAAAUGCCACAUACGAGUGAAUUUGUCUGUCUCUGACAUUUCACUAAGCAGUAUGCUCUCCAGCUCCGUCCAUGUCCUGGCAAAUGGCAAGCUUUCGUUCUUUCUUAUGCCUUUGCCGGUGUUUAGCAGACCUUCCACGGCCCUGCCCUGGCACACGGGCUCCCGCUUCAGCUGACCUCUCCAGAGCUCCCUUCUGUAUGUCACUCUGUCCAUCGUCAUUUUGCACGUGUCCGGGAAAGCAUGCUCUCGCCCGUGCUUUCGUUCUCUCACCCAGAGCAAAUGUGGCACCGAGGCAUGGGAGCUUCUGAGGGGUCACACAGAUGGCACUCGAGCUUGUCCUUUCUCUCCAAAGGUACGCGAUGAGACUGAAGAACUUUGCGAGCCCCCUGGCUUCGGACGGGGACAAAAAGCUGGCAGUAUUAUGCUACAGAUGUUUAUCACUUCUCUACUUGCGGAUGUUUAAGCUGAAGAAGGACCAUGCCAUGAAGUACUCCAGAUCACUGAUGGAAUAUUUUAAGCAAAAUGCUUCAAAAGUCGCUCAGAUACCGUCUCCCUGGGUAGGCAAUGGAAAGUAAGUAUCUCAUGAAAAUUGCUUUUUCAGAAACUCAGGGGACUUAAUAGACCCCAGAUAUUUUGUAUUGACAGCUCAGGAGCACAGGUCAAUUCUGAGACUAGAGUAAUUUUGGUGCCCACGAAAUUCUAGUCAGCUUUCAGCUAACGGCCAGACAGAAAAGUUUAACAUGGUGGCAUUCCAAAUUUCUUUAACUGUGUGAUCUUGAAGCCAAAUUAUGGCCAUAAAAAUAUCUGUUAAUGAGAUGGCAAGCACCAUGCCAUUUCAAGAGAGGCAGGGUAAAGUGAACUCCGCGGCAGUGAUUUUUCAAUGAUUCACUCAGUAAUGAAAGACCAAUGAAAUAUUCAUUGAUGUAUAGUAAGUGCUGUUUAAUAAAACCAAAGGCAUAAUAGUGCUGAGAACGUGAAGGCACUCAGUCAGCCAAUUAUCUGAGCCUUCGUGGUGAUUUUUAUAUUAAUACUAAAACAGCCUGACCUAAAAUACAUAAAACCACCUGCUAUACCGCUGGAGUAAGGCUCGAUGGACCCACCCACUCCCGCGGGCCGCCCGGUCUCCCUGCAGCAGUUGGCAGUCAGAACCUCCUGGAGCAGGUCCUGGGCCCCUCCCACUGUCCAGAGCUCCCCGUGGCCUGAGUGGCCCCUCCCCCUCACUGGCCGUGUUGCUCUCUGAGAUGAAAGGGCUGGACCCGACAGCCUCCGAGGCCCCUGUGAACACACGUACCUUCUAAGAGGGAGGUUUGGAGCGUCUGCCUGGGACCUGGCCACGCAGCUGCCUUUCUGUUCUUGACCAUCAGUGUUUCCUCUGAUUCCCGGACCUCCCUCGCCGCCGCAGACCCACCUCCCACCCCCAGUGGGAGGGGCAACUUCCACAAAGAGACGCUCUUUCCCAUUUUUCAUCAUCUCCAAAUUCUGGUAUCUCUGAUCCAUACGUUUCUUCUAGAGUAAAAUAGUCUCCUCUGCCACUUUAUAAAUCUCCACAAAGCGCACUCCCAGAGCGGUGGGACGUGAACUCUGCUCUGAGAUCGUUCACACAUUCAGACGGAGGGAACAGACCCAUUAAAACCUGCACAUUAACUCAAUUACUGUAUUGGAAGUAUCCUUGAAAUUGUUGAUUAAGUCUUACUUUUAUAUCGAACAACAAAAGCAAAAGAAUGCUUCUGUCUGGAAGUUUGGAAAAUAAAAAUAACCACUGAAAGGCCCAGAGUAAGCUAUUUUCUCUGAGCACAGGGUAAAGCAAGGGCAAGUUCAGGUAAGCAGCCAUUAAAGGAUUUCUGGGGAAGAACAAUUUUUUUAAUUCUGAAACGAAAGAACUCAAACACAUCGUAAGCUUGUGAAGUCACAUUAAAAGCCUCCUGAAAGGAUGUUUUAAGCAGCUUCUGUCUGAAGAGAGCACGCUCCCUUUCGUAGGCCAUAGAAAUUUUGAGCGAGGCAACUCAAAAUGGUCACCCGGGGGUUACGUCCUAUUCAUUCAGCACUUGGGGCGCGUCUCCGUAUGAGGGGCUGGGGACACAGCUGAAUUCGAUGUAAUGCCUGCAGUCCAGGAGCACACGGUCCAGCCCAGGAAGGUGACCGGUGGGAAGAAAGUUCUGUGGAAGCCCAAGGGAGAAAGAGCUUGGACCUCCCUAGAUGGUCAGGGAAGGCUUCUCGCAUGCAAGCAAGACCACAGCCUGGCUUCCUCAGCAAAGGACGGUGGCUGGCACCACACAGGGAGUCGCGGGGCACCUUCCGGAAGCGGCAACCCCUGACCUUGAAGGCUGGGGGAGAAAAUUGCAAGGAAGCGGUUGGAGGAAGCAGAAGAAAAAUCUGCUUGCUACGGAGCGGGGCGUGGCAAACUUUUGCUGAGGCCGAGAGGUAAUAUCUGAGCACACAGAUACUUUAACAAGCGUUGGCUGCUGCCGUUGCCGCAGUAUUUGGUGUCGCGGUUACCAUUUGAGUCGGAAAGCACACACUGUCGCACCCCUGGAGCGCCCACCACUGUUGGGGGACACUUCACUGGAGGCACUUACCCUCAGUUGUCAGAAAGGAAUGGGUCUGCCCCCCCCCCCAGACUAUUUGCUGUCUCCGCUAAAGGGCCAUUCAUUCUUCAUUCACCCGGUAAAUAGUGUUCACUGAGUGCGUACUAUGGAUGGGACGCCCUGCCAGGCACUUGAUAAACAUGAUCCCCCUUCCUUGUGCUCGACGUUGUUCUCCCCUCUC